rnacentral:rRNA from 1 species
GUGGGGAAUAUUGCACAAUGGGGGAAACCCUGAUGCAGCGACGCCGCGUGAGUGAAGAAGUAUUUCGGUAUGUAAAGCUCUAUCAGCAGGGAAGAAAAUGACGGUACCUGACUAAGAAGCCCCGGCUAACUACGUGCCAGCAGCCGCGGUAAUACGUAGGGGGCAAGCGUUAUCCGGAUUUACUGGGUGUAAAGGGAGCGUAGACGGCAGAGCAAGUCUGAUGUGAAAAUCUGGGGCUUAACCCCAGAACUGCAUUGGAAACUGUUUUGCUAGAGUGCCGGAGAGGUAAGCGGAAUUCCUAGUGUAGCGGUGAAAUGCGUAGAUAUUAGGAGGAACACCAGUGGCGAAGGCGGCUUACUGGACGGUAACUGACGUUGAGGCUCGAAAGCGUGGGGAGCAAACAGG